UAAUACUAGAUGGGUCAAUGCCCGUGAUGGAAUGUUUUCCACUCCAAGAAAGUGUAGUGGUCUUCCUCUCCGCUCUAGAUACUGAUGGUGGAAGCCUGAAUACAGCUGCAAACAUGAACGUCAAGGGAACUGUCAAUAUAGGGAAGAAUUGAUCAUCUUGCAUUACAUAGGAGGAGAUUAUCUUCAAGUAACUUGUAGUAACCCGCAUGGUUGCAUAUUAUAAUCAGUCCUUUACUAUGUACUUAGAAGGAAAAUAAUCUUCUAACAUCUGUUAAUAAAUCUUUUAUUUGGAGAUGGACUAUGUUUUAGCCAAAUUGAUGUACUAUUUUUCAGGAAAUAGAGAUACUUAAGUGGUUUCUCAUUAAUUCUAACCUUUCUUCCAAGGCAACCGCAAUUCGUCUAACUGUUGUAUCAAGAAAAAAUGGAUUUCUUACCUCAUAGACCAGCCAUGUGCAACCUGCUAGUGGAUGGUCAUGAGGACUAUGCUACUACUUUUAGCAAUGUCUUGAACUUUUCCAACAACCCUAAAAGCACUUGAGAAUCAAUAUCAAAUGUAGGUUCAUCAAGAAACAACAGAGAUAAUGUUAUAUCUAUAACAGGUUAUCUUAAAUACUUCGACUGAUAGUAGCCCCCAAGGCCUAGCUCAAGUGGCAGAAGGUGGAGGAUUUGUGGCUUAGGUCGCAGGUUCAAGCCCCACACCAUGCAAAGCGAAGCCCGGUAUUUAAGUGGAGAAGGGUAGAGGGGCGGGCCCAUUAUCCACCGAGUUUAGAAGGCUGUGAUUGGUCCAAAGGGCGGGUCACAGACGGAUUUCUCGGUUAUAAAAAAAAAAUAAAAAAAAAUACUUCGACUGAUAGUAGAACUUUUUCAGAUGUGUGGAUGAAAAAUGAAGAAAUCAGUGAGAUUUGGUUUCAUCACAUAUUUUGACCAACAAAUAGACAAACUUUUGCCGUCACUGGUGCAAAAUAUAAAUUUGAACUAACCUUGCCUCUCAGCGCAGCAUAUAGAAGGGCUCCAAAGCCACCUUCUUCAGUCUUAUUCAAAAUGCUGAAGUCAUACGAAAAAUCCAGACUUGUCCACAUGUAUGCCCAAAAGACGUUGUUGAAGCAUCAUCAUCAAAGUCAGUGACUUAGACCUUACUGAGAAGACAGGAUGGUAAUAAACUUAUAGACAGAGCAAUCACUCCCCAAUAUUGAUUUGUUAAUUACAGAAUAAAGACAAAUUAAACAACCUUCGGAAGACAAUCAAUAAGUAAAGAGACAUGUAGCGUUUAGAUGACCAAUACAAGUACAACAAUCCCUUUAAUAGUGAUUUUAUUACUGCCAAUAUGUAUGCAAUUUGUUAGUUCAUCUGAGAAACCAUUGGACACAAAUGAGAGGAAGCAAGACACCAACCAUGAAGUUAAAGUUUAAUAGUGAAUGAGAGUAAGUGGCUAUUCUAAAGAGCAUGGUUGAAAGAAUCUUCGGAAGAAUUUUUUUGUGAAAAAAAGCACUUCAACUAGCAGCUUCACUCAGAGGGUAAUUUGAACUUGAUAAAAUAAGUAUCCAUGGAUAAAAUAGGAUUUACAAAUAGAAGAUCCAUGACACCAACGACAUUUUAUAAUGCCUAUCGAUAUAUUGUAAUUCUUUCACUUGUUGUCCAUCAACUACACCUUUCAGCCUGAUCUUAGUCCCUGACUCACUCUCAAUGGACGAACCUUGCAGAGGAACACUUAGUUUUUCGGGGCGUUGGAUUUUCCCCAAUAAUGUUUGUGUUGCCAAGAUAACAUUUUACUAAAUCGUAUGGAUAUGUAAAAUAUAGGAUAUCCAAUCCUAGCAGGAAAGGGAAGGAAACAAAUACCCAAUUUAAAGUGAGUGAAUAUAAUUUCAUACUCCAUCUCAUAGAUACAUAUAGAGUGGAAAUUUGUAUUCGAUAAAAAUAUUAGGUGACUUUUGAAAGUAGUGAAUACUUGAUAAAACUGUUGAAAUGUGCACAUGCUAGUCCAGACAGGCUGACAUUGUCAUUAAGAAAAAUAAUAGGCAAACUAAGAGAAGUUAAGAGGGAAUAUUAUAAGCUUUCAAUUCUGCGUAAAUUCAAUGUCAACUUGAUGGAAAAAAUCAGGUGGUUCUUUAGGGAGAAAAAGUCAUCUAUAUUUGGUCGGUGAAAUUGCAACUUGGAAUAGUUUGUAUUAUCAUAGUGAGUAAUAUUCACUUUUUUGUGCUUUAUAUAUCAAUUGACCAAUUAUAAAAUUAUCUGCUCAGUAUGUGGUAUGCCAUUGUUGUCAAUUGAGUUUCCGCUGCCAGCAUCUUUCCUCAUAUUGAUUCCAAUUCUUCUUACUCAUCUACAAACAACUCACACAAAAAUCUCUAAACCUUCCACCAGGACCUCCAUCAUGGCCAUUGCUAGGAAAUAUUCUCCAGAUUGGAAAAAAUCCUCAUAUUUCCCUGGCACAAUUUGCCAAAAUUCAUGGGCCCUUAAUUUCUGUCAGGCUGGGGACUCAACUGGUUGUGGUAGCUUCAUCCCCUGAUUCCGCAGCUGAAAUCCUCAAAACUCAAGAUUGUCUUCUCUCAGCCCGGUCUGUGCCCAGCGUUGCUCCAUAUAAACUCUCUCUUAUUGAUCAACACUCAAUUGUUUGGUCCAGUGAUUUGAGCAAUCACUGGAAGUUCUUAUGCGCAUUUUGUCGGACACAUUUGUUCUCACCUAAAGCGGUAGAGUCACAGGCUGCUCUCAGAAAGAAAAAAAGUGUCUGAAAUGAUAUAUUUUCUUAGCUCCAAGAAAGGGGAAACUGUGAAAAUUUCUGAAACUGUUUGGUACCAUUUUAAAACGUUAGGGAACCUUUUUUUUCAAAAGAUUUAUGUGAUUUGGAUUAUGAAACGAAAACCAGUGGGAUCAAACUUGUUAUUAGAAAAUUGCUAGAGUUGGGAGCUAUGCCAAAUAUAUCAGAUUUCUAUCCUCUCUGGAUAUUCAGGAAUUGAGAAAGCAGACUGAAAUAUAUCAAAAAUGAUUGAGACUGAUAUGGUACAAUCUUAUUCUUCAAUUUCAGGAAUUAAUUAUUGCAGGUUCUGACACCACUUCCUCAACAAUUGAAUGGACAAUGACAGAAUUGCUAAGGAACAAAAGCGCUAUGCACAAACUUCAAGCUGAGCUUACAAGCAAGACCGGAGAAACUGAUAUAAUCACAGAAUCAAACAUCAGUGAACUUCCAUAUUUGGCUGCUUGUGUCAAGGAAACAUUGAGAAUCCAUCUGCCUACUCCCUUCUUGAUUCUUCGUCGUGCUCCUGAGACGUGUAAGAUUAUGGAUUACUCCAUCCCAAAGAACUCGAGGUUAUUUGUGAAUGUUUGGGCAAUAGGGCGCGACUCUAAAACAUGGGAAGAUGCAUUAUGUUUCCGGGCUGAGUGGUUUCUUGACUCGAAUGUAGACUUGAGGGGUCAAUAUUUUGAGUUCAUACCAUUUGGUGCAGGGAGGAGAAUAUGCCCUGACUUACCCUUUGCUAGACAAGAAGUUCACUUGAUUUUAGCUAGUUUGAUCCAUCACUUUAAGUGGUCACUACCCAAUGAUGAGGAUCCAAAGCAGUUAGAUAUGAAAGAAAAGUUUGGUGUUACUCUACAGAAAGAAAAGUCUCUACUGGUUGUUCCUAUAUAAUAUGUGUAUCUUUUUUUCCCUCCCCAUAUACCAUAUGUACCUUCACUUACAGAUUGUUAUAGCAAUGGUUUGAUAGAUUGCAUUAUUUUCUAUUGUUACAUAAUGUCACAUAUAUAAUUUGAAUGAUAAACAUACGAGAAAAGUAGAGUAUAAAAUAGAGCUAUUAUAAAAAGGUAGGGUAAAAGAUAAAAUAUGAUUAUUGAAUUAAUAAUAAGUAAAGAUAAAAUAAGAAGAAAAUAUUAAGGUAACUAUGUGAUUACAUCAAAUCGGUUGAUAUGCAAAAUGAAACUUUUUGUUAUUAUCUAACAAUGCAUUUAAUGAUACGAUACAAAAAAUUUAAAUAGCAAUCAAAACAAGCAUUAUAUUUAAACUAAUAGUACAAUACAAUACAACGGGUACCAAUCAUCCAAACAAGGUAUUUUUUUAAAUGGAGGGAGUGCAAUUAGUUGCACAUUAUUUAAUUAAUAAUACAAAAUAGCUAAAGGGUCAAUUUCAAAUAUAUACAAUAUAGUAAUUAGUUUACAAUAGAUAUAGUCAUGCUUUAUUUACCUAAAAAAAUUGUUAAAAGUCAAAAAAAAAAAAAGUAAUAACACAAACUAUACAAUAUAGUUUGCAAAGUAAAAAAAAAAAAUACACAUUGACUACACAGCAUGGCUUACCUAUCAAACUAUUCAUGAAGUAUACACUAACUAUACAUAAAGUUACACUGACUAUUCAAUCUCGAUCAACUCAAAAUCACCUCUAAAUAGUUUCAAAUUUUAGAUAUGAAAUUUUCUCAAUGUUUUAAGUUUUUUGAUAUAAAAAUUCAUUCGAAAUAAUUCAUGUUUACGAUAGGCUGAAUUUUUUUAAUUUUUUUAAAAGAAUAAGAAUAAUGAAGAAGAAGAAGAACAGCAGAAAAAGAAUAAGAAUAGAAAAGACCAAUAGAAGAAGAAUGAAGAAUAGUAGAAGAAGAAGAACGUUUUUCAAACAUAUUUGGCUGAAAGGAGUCCCUUAUAAAGUGUCAUUCUUUAUAUGGAGUUUGUGGAAGCAAAGGAUCCCUAUUGGAGAAGUGCUGGUGAAGAACAGAAUGCCUGAUAAUGUGAUAUGUGUUUGUUGUAGACGGGGGGUCUCAGAGUCUAUAGAACAUUUAUUCAUACAUUGUAACUUUUCUAGUAGACUAUGGGCUAUUAUUGCAGCUGCAACAGGGAUUGAUGGUCCUUUCAUUCAAUUGAAAGACACAUUACUGAAGUGUUGGAAGGCAGAGAUGACACCCAAGCUUAAAUACAUAUACAAGACAGUACUUCUGUUCAUUUUGUGGCAAAUUUGGAAAAGAAGAAACAUUAUCAAACAUGGUGGGAAGAUGACACAAUCUACUAUGACUUUGGAGAUUGGGAGAAACUUACACCUAUGGCAAGAUGUUUAUAUCCUUGGUUGAAGGACAUAACAACUUCUUGGCUUAUGCUAGUGAAGUUCAUGGAAGAUUACACUCUUAUUCUAGUUUAUAAGGUGGUGAAAUGGAUUAAGCCUACAAUUGGUUUUAAAUGUAAUUCUGAUGGUGCUUUUAAAGGAAAUCCAGGGCCUAGUUUUGGAGCCUUUUGCAUUAGGGAUGUGGAAGGUAACUUUGUAUAUGUUGAAGUAAAGAGGCUGGAGGAAAAUAACAAUUUAAAGGCAGAGAUCAGUGCUAUCAAAAUGGGACUGGAAUUUUGCAUUGCAAAAGAAUUACUUCAUGUUACUCUUGAAACAGAUUCCCUUACUAUGAAGAAGAUGAUAGAGGGGGAAUGAGAGGUCGCAUGAAGUGUAUCAGAAAAAUAAGGUACUUAAUGAAGGAAAGAGAGAUUGUGGUUGAUCACAUUUUCAGAGAAGGCAACAAGGUUGCGGAUUUUUUAGCUAACUAUGUUUUCUAUUUUGCAGGUACACAAAGUGUUACAUUCUCAACUUUUCGGGAACUACCAAAUGAGGUGAAAGUUCUAGUAAGCAUGGAUAAAGCAGGGGCAGCAAACUUGAGAUUCAGAAAAAUACAAAACAGAAAUUAUGGUUACUGUGAUAAGAAUUCUAAUGCACAAUAAGGAAACACCAACAGUAGCUUAAGGAAAAGCACAGAGACAAGAAAACAUAAUGGGGCGCACAAAUCAUACAAAUAUGAAUCUUCAGUGCUGCAAUGAUUUACAAGAACGAUCUUUUAGCAAAAUGGAUAGGAUUUACCUGGCCUAUGCAGUGGUAUUAGUUAGUUUCUGGCUCAAU
rnacentral:lncRNA from 1 species